UACAGAGGGGGCAAGCGUUGUUCGGAAUUACUGGGCGUAAAGGGCGCGUAGGCGGCCCGCUAAGUCGAACGUGAAAUCCCCCGGCUUAACCUGGGAACUGCGUCUGAUACUGGGAGGCUAGAGUAUGGGAGAGGGAUGUAGAAUUCCAGGUGUAGCGGUGAAAUGCGUAGAUAUCUGGAGGAAUACCGGUGGCGAAGGCGGCAUCCUGGACCAUUACUGACGCUGAGGCGCGAAAGCUAGGGGAGCAAACGGG
rnacentral:rRNA from 1 species